AGAGAACGCUGGCGGUAGGCCUAACACAUGCAAGUCGAACGGCAGCACAGUAAGAGCUUGCUCUUACGGGUGGCGAGUGGCGGACGGGUGAGGAAUACAUCGGAAUCUACUUUUUCGUGGGGGAUAACGUAGGGAAACUUACGCUAAUACCGCAUACGACCUACGGGUGAAAGCAGGGGAUCUUCGGACCUUGCGCGAUUGAAUGAGCCGAUGUCGGAUUAGCUAGUUGGCGGGGUAAAGGCCCACCAAGGCGACGAUCCGUAGCUGGCCUGAGAGGAUGAUCAGCCACACUGGAACUGAGACACGGUCCAGACUCCUACGGGAGGCAGCAGUGGGGAAUAUUGGACAAUGGGCGCAAGCCUGAUCCAGCCAUACCGCGUGGGUGAAGAAGGCCUUCGGGUUGUAAAGCCCUUUUGUUGGGAAAGAAAAGCAGCAGGUUAAUACCCCGCUGUUCUGACGGUACCCAAAGAAUAAGCACCGGCUAACUUCGUG
rnacentral:rRNA from 1 species